GUAGUAGAAGCUUAAGAUUGGUGAGAAUCCAAUCCGCCGCAGGGGCUAGGUUUCCUCGACAAUGUUCGUCAGUCGAGGGUUAGUCGGUCCUAAGACGUACCGUAAUUCGAGUACGCCGAAAGGGAAACAGGUUAAUAUUCCUGUACCUGUAUCAAACAAUCCUGACGCUUUCGGAUAGGCAUUGCGGAGCCAUCGCUCCGUCUAAGCUGGAUAUGAAAUUGGAGUACCGUAAUGGUGAGAAUUUUUCAAAACGGUGAUGGGGUAACAAUGCUGAUUUCAGGAGCCCGUGAAAAGGGUGAUACGGUCCGUACCGAGAACUGACACAGGUGCCCCUCGCUGAGAAGGCGAAGGCGUGUCGGGAGUAAAUGUGUUAAGGGAACUCGGCAAAUUAGCCCUGUAACUUUGGGAUAAGGGGUGCCUGCCCAGCGAUUGGGCAGGUCGCAGUGACAAGAUCGCUCCGACUGUCUAAUAACAACAUAGCAGACUGCAACUCCGAAAGGACUCGUAUAGUCUGUGAUUCCUGCCCAGUGCGAGUAUCUGAACACCGGGUUCAACCGGACGAAGGACUCGCAAACGGCGGGGGUAACGAUGACCCUCUUAAGGUAGCGUAGUACCUUGUCGCUUAAUUGGCGACUUGCAUGAAUGGAAUAACGAGAGCGAUACUGUCCCUAACACAUACCCGUUGAACCUUUUGUACUAGUGCAGAGACUAGUGACUCCUUAUGGGAAGUGAAGACCCCGUGGAGCUUUACUGCAGCCUGUCGUUGGGUUACGGUAUUACCUGCGCAGGGUAGAUGGGAGACGUCGAUCCAACCCUUGUGGGGGUUGGUUAGUCAACGAUGAGACACCAUCCUGGUUUUAUUGUAAUUCUAACUGAUUUAUCAGGACAUCGAUAGGUAGGCAGUUUGGGUGGGGCGCCACACCCUCGAAAAAAUAUCAAGGGUGCCCUAAGGUCAACUCAAGCGGGUCAGAAACCCGCUGAAGAGUGUCAAGAGCAAAAGUUGGCCUGACGCGAUUUCGCAUAGCAAGAAAUCGUGAGAGGAAACUCGGGUCUAACGAACCAAUACGCCCUGUUGAUGAGGGCUAUUGACUACAGAAAAGCUACCCCGGGGAUAACAGAGACGUCGCCGGCAAGAGCACAUAUCGACCCGGCUGCUUGCUACCUCGAUGUCGGUUCUUUCCAUCCUGGCUGUGCAGCAGCAGCCAAGGGUGAGGUUGUUCGCCUAUUAAAGGGGAUCGUGAGCUGGGUUUAGACCGUCGUGAGACAGGUCGGUUACUAUCUAUAAGGAGUGUUGGAAGUCUGAAGGCAAGAAUGAAAUAGUACGAGAGGAACUUUCAUUCGGCGCCACUGGUCUACCGGUCGUCUGACAAGGCACCGCCGGGCAGCUACGCGCCAAGAGAUAAAAGCUGAAAGCAUCUAAGCUUGAAACUCAGCCUGAACAAGAGACUUCAUUAAAGACACGGGUAAAAGACCCGGUUGAUAGGUUCGGGAUGUACGCACGAAGGCAACGACGUGUUCAGUCCGCGAAUACU
rnacentral:rRNA from 1 species